GCACAAUCUUAUUAAAAAUUUAGUUAGAAAAUAUUGAAAGAGGUUUCGCUGCAUUAUAAAAAUUUAAUUUACUCGGAUGAAUGUGAAAUAGUGGUAGAGAUAAAUAUUAUAUUGGAAAAAGGGAGCUAAUAAGUGAUAACCGAUAAAUAGGUAACUGCAACAAUCGAUUGCAACAAAUGUUCAAUAUUCGUCACCGUUUUACGCGCUGUAAAGGCACACGGGCGAAUUGAAUGAUAGUGAGUCAGUUUUUGCAUGACACGAUCAGCUGUCACUCUGCUUAAAUGAAAUCAGCGCUGAAAUAAAGAUAAUCAGAGUUGCUGUGUGCUGCCAGAAGUCACAGCGUCUACCAAAGUUCAACAAAUAUGCAACAGCAGCCAUAAAAAUGUCUAUGAAAUAUAAGAACCACAAAUCAUAGUGCGAAAUCCAACAUAUUAUAUAUACACACAUAUGUAUUUAUACAUGUUUAAGUAAC